UAGUAAAAUGAGACGGGGCUGCUAGCCGACAACUUUCGUUUUUCCCCGGUCCAAAUCCGAUUUCUUUGGUUCUUGAUCUAAACAUAUUCAAAUUAAGCUCAUUCAAACACAUUUUCAUUCAAUUUAGUUUAAAAACACAUAAAUGGGCAAAUUACCAUUUUACCCCCGACAUUUACAAUUUUUACAAUUUAGUCCCUACUGCACAAAACACAAAAUAUACAAAAUUUCAAAGUACUCAUGUUCGGCUGAAUCUUACCCAUUACCAUACAAUCCUUAUAUUUCCUUUAAUUCACA
rnacentral:lncRNA from 1 species